UAUGUGCGGAAGGGAUAAGUGCUGAAAGCAUCUAAGCAUGAAGCCCCCCUCAAGAUGAGAUUUCCCAUAGCGUUAAGCUAGUAAGAUCCCUGAAAGAUGAUCAGGUUGAUAGGUUCGAGGUGGAAGCGUGGUGACACGUGGAGCUGACGAAUACUAAUAGAUCGAGGACUUAACCA
rnacentral:rRNA from 1 species